rnacentral:lncRNA from 1 species
GCUGCUUUACCAACUAGGUUUACAUAAUAUUCUAAAGCUGUUGUCAUUUCAAUAACUUUUAGUAUACCUCCACAAAGAGUAACUUUCAUCUCAAGAAACAACUUUCCUUUCUCAUUCAUAAGAAGCAAUUUCUCAUUAACAUUUUAUAUUCAGCAUUUCCAUCAUAUCUUCAGGCUUACUUUCAGUUCUAGUUCUUUUGCUAUUUCCACCACAUUUCAGUUACUUCCACCUGAAGUUAUUACUAAAUCUGAACCCUGCAAAGUCAUCCACAAACAUUGGGCUACAACAUGUUCUUUUAACUCACAGAAAUUUCUUAUUAUCCGUCUUCUGAAGUCUGAUUCUGUUAAUGGAAUGCACUCAUUCUCCAUCAAGCCUUGUUCCCUUGUUGAUGAGGAACUGUGAUCCUCUUUGGAGGGAGAGGCAUUCUGAUUUUGAGUAUUCCCAGCCUUUUUACGCUGGUUUCUUCCCAUCAUUGUAAAUUUAUCCACCUGUUGUCUUUGUAAUUACCAACUUUCAAAUUAGGUCUCUGAGUGGACGUCCAAGUUGAUAAUUCCCAGGGCCGAAAUAUGAGCAACCCACUGCGCUGGCUAAAACAGCGGCGUUAAGAUUGAUGGUGCUUUUCUGCCCAGGAAUCUCCAGUCUGGCUUCCUUCUUGAGUUUGUAAUAGGCAACUCUGCCUUCCUGGAGCUCCAAAUGUCAGUCAGAAGGGGAACCAGUCCCGUUUACUCUGCACCAAGAGCUGCCACACUGAGGUGCCAGCAAAACCGCUGCACAAGUCACAAGAGUCACACUGGCGACCCGUGGGGCUCCUCCGCUGGGAAUCUUCUGUUCUGUGAGUGACAAAAAUUUGUCUGAAAGUGUGGUGUCCUCUCGUUCUCUGCACUUUCACUGGGAGCUGCAAUCCCGAGAUGUUAGCGAUCAGCCAUCUUGGAUCGUUAGAGUGUCGGGUAUAACAUUCUUUAUCUCUGUGACAGUGACUCCUUUAUGAUAAAAUGUGAAGAAUCUGCU